rnacentral:rRNA from 1 species
UACGUAGGGUCCGAGCGUUGUCCGGAAUUAUUGGGCGUAAAGAGCUCGUAGGUGGUUUGUCGCGUUGUCCGUGAAAACUCACAACUCAAUUGUGGGCGUGCGGGCGAUACGGGCAGACUGGAGUACUGCAGGGGAGACUGGAAUUCCUGGUGUAGCAGUGGAAUGCGCAGAUAUCAGGAGGAACACCGGUGGCGAAGGCGGGUCUCUGGGCAGUAACUGACGCUGAGGAGCGAAAGCGUGGGGAGCGAACAGG